rnacentral:lncRNA from 1 species
UUGUUUAUUGAGGGCUUGCUAUUGCGUAUCAGUAAUAUGCUGAGCGACGUUAGGGAAGAAAACUCUAGCGGCCUUCGCCGUGCCGCCUGAAGCGGCCAACAUUUCUGAACUCUUGGCACCUGAACUCUGGCGCAGCUCCGGGGAAAAGCUCCCACAGCCAUGGCCAUUUCUCUAUUUCUCUCUAUUAAGUUUCGUCUCUGCUGCUAAUCAUGCUCUCUCUUUUGUAGAAGCUCCGAUGGUGCUCUGACUUGGGGGGAGGGCAACAUUCUCUGUCUUCUCGCCCACCACAAGGCAUCGAAGCUCCGCAUCGCCUCGAUCCUUGUUGGAACCAGGCCGAUUUCCUUCAGAAUCGCACUGGCGAGGGUUUUAAUUUGAUAGGGAAAAACGAAAAGGGGAAGAAUGAGGGAUCUUGGAAAUCUCAAGAUCGGUGAGCAAUCACCGCUGUAAGUGAUCUGCUCAGCCACCCUGAUCAAAUUCUCGGUGAAGAUACCGAGCCAGUGCAGCGCUGAAAUGUCACUCGAGGAUCGAGAAUAACACUCUGCUUCCAGAGAGGCCUGCGCGAAAAGUCUAUACUGAUCGAUCGCUGCUUGCUGUUAAUUCCAAAUUGCGAGAAAAAGAAUGAAGGGAAGCUACUUUGAUUUCCUUGCUCUAACUCGAAUAUUACAAAAUUGGAUUGACUUUGUUUGUGAGUCUUUCGGCAUUAUCUUUAAUGUUGGGGCUGAUGACAUUAUGGUUUUUGCUUUAAUUUCAGGAUUGAUCUCUUUAUGUUUCCGCUCUGAUUUUGGGAUUGCUAAUGGGAAUAAUUUCAUUAUUUUGGCUCUGUUUUUAUUAUGUUUAUUGUAUGUGAGCUUGUUUGAUGGAGGAAUGGGCUUUUAAUCCAAGUAUCGUUGCAUUGUUUCAGUGUUUAGGGGACUCCAGCGCUGAUACAACUCUUAAUCUAAGGCAUUGCUGCAUUAAUUCAAUUUCGAGAGGUUCAUUGUUAUCGGAGCAGUAGGGCAUCUGAAUCUGUACAGGUGGGACGGAGAUCAUCGUUACUCAGUCCAUAGCUCAGCGCAGGAGCGACAAACGGAUGGCUUAUCGACACACAAAAGGGCAGCGCAGGCAUGGCGGUAAUCCUCGAGGGCAGCGCAGUACGGUAAUCUUAGGGGGCAGGAUGAUAUGAGAUGCUUUAAAUGAGUGCUC